AAAGGAAGAAACUGAAGGCGCCUUGUCUCGACUCCAGCCAGCUUAGUUCUUUGGAGAAGCAGUGUGGAGUCCUAAAAAAGGAGGCUGAGUCUUACCGUUGAGGUCGGUGCCGGUAGAGAAUGGGAGGGAGUCUGCAGGAGCCAAGCACCCUAAAGAAGAGGAAGAGAGCACGUUGCUGAGAUUUGAACAGCGACCUGAGAGGUCAGACUGGACCCAGGCCUCCUCAAGGUUUUUAGGUUUUUGCCUGUUGCUCUUAGGGAUCCAGGGGCAGAGUUUUGCCUUAGGUGCUGAAGACAGCUGCUGGAGCCUGUUGCUUUUUCACACCACAGAUACUUCAUGCUGCCUAAUAUUCUACCGAGCCAGCCUAGGGGACUUGGAUCUGUCUCGCCUGGGGCUAAGAGAAUAGUUUCUCUAAGAAGAAAACAGUUCUAAUUCAAAGAUGCUGGAUCUGGCUUCCUUUAAAGCCUGAAGUCGCUGAAGUGGCCAUAGAACUAUGGGGUCCAGAGGACUGCCAGUCUCAGCCAGCCUUUAGGCUGGAGAGAGGCUGUGGGCCUGCUUGGGGACUAAAAUGGAUGAAUAAGAAACCUGUAAGAAAUGUAAACAGAUGGAAUGGCAAGGAGGAGAGCGCUGGAGAUUGUUCAGGAGGAAUUCCACCCGGCUCUGGGGCGUGCGUCCGACAAGCCCCUAGGGGGAGAAAGGAGAAGGGUGAAGGCCGGGCUAGUAGUCGCUGCCCGCUGGGCAGCAUCUGGAGGCCCGUGCGGGAUGCAGGCGAGGGGGAUGGAGCGGCGCCGCUGGAGGAAAUUGGCUUCCCAUGGGACCUGCAACUGUCUGGAAACAAAAAAAGAAGCCUACCAAAAGGGGAAAUUUAAAGGAGAGCAAGAAACCAUGAAGAGAGAGCCGAAAACGCGAAAGUAAAGAGUUGCCCAACUUAUUUAAAAGCAUGCGUAAUUUUGCCCGGGAGUUUCCGCAGCGUACUCUAACUUUUCUCCGCCUGCUUCCUUGGACCCAAUUUUCUUGUUCUUAUUCUGGAAGGUUUUUUUGUUUGUUUGUUUGUUUGUUUUUUGUUUGUUUGUUUUUUAACUUGACUUUACUUUGCCUGGGAACUGCACGUUUGCAUACUCCUGCAGGCUCUCUACCCUUGGCAAUGGACAGAGAAUAGCAUCCGGGCGGGAGGCUUGGCUGGGAAAGAAAGCCCUGGCGUCACCCGCGGGUUCAGUCUAGGCACUCCCCUCAGAGUACCGCAGGAGCAGGCAGAGCCACUGGCCUAUACAACCUCUGGGCUGCUGGCUACUGGGGUGAUCUGGGCCAGCGUGAUCUUAUUGAAUUUACUAAUGACCAGAGAGAUUUCUUAAGCCAAGUCCCCAGAGAACGAAUCCAAAAUGAGUAAAACAGUUGCCACUCCA
rnacentral:lncRNA from 1 species